rnacentral:rRNA from 1 species
UACGGAGGGUGCGAGCGUUGUCCGGAAUCACUGGGCGUAAAGGGCGCGUAGGCGGCGCGGGGAGUCAACGGUGAAAGCUCGGCGCUCAACGCCGAGUCGGCCGUCGAUACUCCCGUGCUUGAGCACUGUAGAGGCAGGUGGAAUUCCGGGUGUAGCGGUGGAAUGCGUAGAUAUGACCCAGAACUCCGAUUGCGAAGGCAGGAGGCUACGCCUGGAUUGACACUGAGGCACGAGAGCAUGGGGAGCAAACAGG